rnacentral:rRNA from 1 species
UGGGGAAUUUUGGACAAUGGGGGGAAACCCUGAUCCAGCCAUCCCGCGUGUGCGAUGAAGGCCUUCGGGUUGUAAAGCACUUUUGGCAGGAAAGAAACGUCGCGGGUUAAUACCCCGCGAAACUGACGGUACCUGCAGAAUAAGCACCGGCUAACUACGUGCCAGCAGCCGCGGUAAUACGUAGGGUGCAAGCGUUAAUCGGAAUUACUGGGCGUAAAGCGUGCGCAGGCGGUUCGGAAAGAAAGAUGUGAAAUCCCAGAGCUUAACUUUGGAACUGCAUUUUUAACUACCGGGCUAGAGUGUGUCAGAGGGAGGUGGAAUUCCGCGUGUAGCAGUGAAAUGCGUAGAUAUGCGGAGGAACACCGAUGGCGAAGGCAGCCUCCUGGGAUAACACUGACGCUCAUGCACGAAAGCGUGGGGAGCAAACAGGAUUAGAUACCCUGGUAGUCCACGCCCUAAACGAUGUCAACUAGCUGUUGGGGGCCUUCGGGCCUUGGUAGCGCAGCUAACGCGUGAAGUUGACCGCCUGGGGAGUACGGUCGCAAGAUUAAAACUCAAAUGAAUUGACGGGGGUCAUAGCUG